rfam:Clostridium halophilum strain M1 genome assembly, contig: G325DRAFT_scaffold00022.22
CUUUCGGCGACGAAAGGGUCUGAAGGAAGCUGAUGGUGGUUGUUGGAACAAAAUGUUAGUGAACCAGUGUUGGCAUGUGUAGUGGAUAACCUUCCAAAAAGUGGGAACGUCCUAAAAUUAGCUAAACUGCAUAUGUUUUGAUGGUUGUUUUAACAACAGGCGGAGUAAC